rnacentral:rRNA from 1 species
CCUGGCUUAGGACGAACGCUGGCGGCGUGCCUAAUACAUGCAAGUCGAGCGAAUGAUUAGAGAAGCUUGCUUCUCUCUGAUUAGCGGCGGACGGGUGAGUAACACGUGGGUAACCUACCCUAUAGACUGGGAUAACUUCGGGAAACCGGAGCUAAUACCGGAUAAUACUUCGAAACACAUGUUUUGAAGUUGAAAGAUGGUUUCGGCUAUCACUAUAGGAUGGACCCGCGGCGCAUUAGCUAGUUGGUGAGGUAACGGCUCACCAAGGCAACGAUGCGUAGCCGACCUGAGAGGGUGAUCGGCCACACUGGGACUGAGACACGGCCCAGACUCCUACGGGAGGCAGCAGUAGGGAAUCUUCCACAAUGGACGAAAGUCUGAUGGAGCAACGCCGCGUGAGUGAAGAAGGAUUUCGGUUCGUAAAACUCUGUUGCAAGGGAAGAACAAGUAGCGUAGUAACUGGCGCUACCUUGACGGUACCUUGUUAGAAAGCCACGGCUAACUACGUGCCAGCCGCUGC